CACUCGUCUUUUGUCCUCUUGCAGAUUAAUCGGUCUCGAAGCUUCCGAUACACUCAGUUCUCACAUGAACGAGUCGGAUGGACCUCCCUAGAAACCAAACACCCCUGAAUCGCAGUCAUCAUCAGCGAACGACAAUCCGUGUGCUGUUGUGAUGUAGUAGUACUACUGAAGCACGGAACGAACCGCACAGGCUAGCCCGCACGGAGCGAACCACACGGGAAAAGCUGAUGGGAAGAAAUAGAAAAGUCAAGAAAAGGCAGUUCCUGCAGCUUCAAAAUCUAGUCCGGCUUCCAAGAAGAGCAAGGAUGACGAUGAUUCUGAUGAGGACGAGACUGAUGAUUCUAACGAGGACGAGACAGAUGAUUCUGAUGAGGGUGAGGGUUUGUCUCCUAAAGAAGGCGAUGAUGAUGAUUUAAGUGAUGAAGAUGAUACCAGUGACGAUGAGGAGGAAGACACUUCAACUCCUAAGAAGCAUGAGGCAGGCAAGAAGAGAGCUGCUGAAAGUUCCAUGCUGAAAACUCCUCUAUCUGAUAAGAAAGCAAAAGUUGCCACACCGUCAGCUCAGAAGACAGGUGUGCCAUUGAACGGACUAAGAAAACUGUCGUCGAAGAUUGUAUAGGUGUGACUCUGUUCAAGGAUAGUCUUGAGGUUCUAGAACAGAAGAGUAGUGGUGUGCAUCAGUGUAUCUGUUUACGGGAUAAUAGUGGUUGGUUAGGUGUGU